rnacentral:rRNA from 1 species
AUUGAACGCUGGCGGCAUGCUUUACACAUGCAAGUCGAGCGGCAGCGCGGGGGCAACCCUGGCGGCGAGCGGCGAACGGGUGAGUAAUGCAUCGGAACGUAUCCUCGAGUGGGGGAUAACCCAGCGAAAGUUGGGCUAAUACCGCAUGAGCUCUGAGGAGGAAAGCGGGGGACCUGCGAGGGCCUCGCGCUGGAGGAGCGGCCGAUGUCCGAUUAGCUAGUUGGUGGGGUAAAGGCUUACCAAGGCGACGAUCGGUAGCUGGUCUGAGAGGAUGAUCAGCCACACUGGGACUGAGACACGGCCCAGACUACUACGGGAGGCAGCAGUGGGGAAUUUUGGACAGUGGGGGCAACCCUGAUCCAGCCAUGCCGCGUGAGUGAAGAAGGCCUUCGGGUUGUAAAGCUCUUUCGGACGGAACGAAAUGGGCGGGACUAAUACUCCUGUCUGAUGACGGUACCGUAAGAAGAAGCACCGGCUAACUACGUG